rnacentral:lncRNA from 1 species
AUAAAACAAAAUAGUUUUGCCACUGCAGACUUUGUAAAUGAAAAUUAAUCAAACAAACAAAAUGUAUGAAAUUAAAAUGAUUACCAAAAGAAGCUUGAUUUAUCUUGCAACAAAAAUUAAAAUUAUUGCAAAGAAAAGGAACCGUUACCAGGACACAGAGUUAUCGGGACAUAGUUUGUAAUCUCAAAGUAACACAAGGUUAUGAAAUUAGCACACUUUAAAAUUGUUAAGUAAGAUUCUUCUUUAUAAAGACUAGUUUCAGCAGGUAUUUG